AGAGUUUGAUCCUGGCUCAGGAUGAACGCUGGCGGUAUGCCUAACACAUGCAAGUCGUACGAGAGUUUUUAACUCUAGUGGCGGACGGGUGAGUAACACGUGAGAAUUUGCCUUUAGGAGGGGGAUAACAAUUGGAAACGAAUGCUAAUACCCCAUAUGCUUUCGAGUGAAAUGAAUUUUUUAUUUGCCUAAAGAGAAGCUCGCGGCUGAUUAGCUUGUUGGUAAGGUAAGAGCUUACCAAGGCGACGAUCAGUAUCUGGUUUGAGAGGACGAUCAGACACACUGGAACUGAGACACGGUCCAGACUCCUACGGGAGGCAGCAGUGGGGAAUUUUCCGCAAUGGGCGAAAGCCUGACGGAGCAAUACCGCGUGAGGGAAGAAUGCCUAUGGGUUGUAAACCUCUUUUUUCAGGGAGGAAUAAAUGACGUGUACCUGAAGAAUAAGCAUCGGCUAACUCCGUGCCAGCAGCCGCGGUAAGACGGAGGAUGCAAGUGUUAUCCGGAAUCACUGGGCGUAAAGCGUCUGUAGGUGGUUUAAUAAGUCAACUGUUAAAUCUUGAGGCUCAACUUCAAAAUCGCAGCUGAAACUAUUAGACUAGAGUAUAGUAGAGGUAAAGGGAAUUUCCAGUGUAGCGGUGAAAUGCGU
rnacentral:rRNA from 1 species